rnacentral:rRNA from 1 species
GUACAUCUGCCGAAACCUUAGUGGAUUGAUUAGGCGACUUUAAAUAAAUAUAAUCCUCGGGAGCAUCCCGAGCACUAGCCAUCACUGCGGAUGGUGACAUUACCAGUUUGCGGGAACACUCAGCUUCGCUGGGUAAUCCGCAGUCACGAUAGUGACUCACAGGCUAAAUGGUAAUGGGCGUGGCUGUUAAGGCAGCUAGGCUUCAGAUAUAGUCGGUCCCCAGAUAACUCUGGGAGUCUUAAGGAAUUUGGGCGCUUCCCAGUCCCACCAACUUUGUCAAUAGCAAGUGUCUAUUGCAACAGUCGUCCCAAUGAAGCAGUCAAUUCCUGUAAGCGAGUCAACGUUCCGUAGGUGAACCUGCGGAAGGAUCAUUA